rnacentral:misc_RNA from 1 species
CUCACUGUCUCUUCAAGUGUUUGUACCUAUAUAACUCUACGUCAGUUUGCACAAGUUCCGCGCACGUAAUUCUUAUUCUUUUCUUGCUAAAAAUCUCCGGUUUUAAUUUGAUCUUCUUCGAGUUACUUCACACAGCCCAGGAUGAUGGAGAGCAAUAAGGAGAAUGCCAAUAGUGAAUCAUUGUCCGGGGUCAUGGAUGCGGCGAAGGGGGAUGUACUGUAUGAUGAGUUCGUUGUGUCUGCAGGAGAUCGAUUUUCGUCGGAUGAGGAAGAGGUGAUCCUUAACGGGGAUGAGAAGAAGUUACAAGGCAAGAAGAAGAAAAGCUCUCCAGCAAAGGCUGCAACCAAUAUUUUAACUGAAGACAAUGCCAUGAUUGUUGAUGGGCUACACAUAACGGAUUUAAGCGACGAUGAGCUUUUUAGAAAAUUACAAGAAUAUGGUGUGGAUGUAGGACCAAUUGUUGAUAGUACCCGUAAUAUCUAUCAAAAAAAGUUAGCCAUUCUAAUGAGAGGUGAAUCUAAUUUCAACAAUUCUAUAUCGUCACAUCAUGAAAAUGGAACUUCGAAUGAAUUAAAUGGAAAGGAAGAAUUUUCUGCUGACGAAGAAGCUCUUGAACUCUCACCAGAUAUUAAAGAGGAAGAAACUUCACCAAUUGCUGCUUCUGAAUCCUUUCUCAAAAGGAUUUCUCGUCGCUCUAAUGCAAGCUCUGUGAAGAAGAUUUCGAUAACUGCUUCGCCAAAAACAAUAAAUUCUUCCAUGAUACCUGACGUUAGACCUAGGAUUUCCAGCUCUUCCCAUGUCAAGGCUGAACGAUUUACUCCUACUCCACGUAGAAGUAUUCACUCCUAUCGGGGAAAUGAAAACGAGGAAGGACUGAGAUUAAGAUACAGAGUGUCAGGUAGUAGCAAUGUUCUGCGCCAGGAAGAUAGAUCUGAUUUGACGAAUGAAAAGUUGGAUGCAAAUAUUGAAUCUAAAUCUGUGUCCACAUGUUCAAAGAUUCUUCAUAUUCUCCCAAAUAUCUUUAUUCUUUUGGUAAUUGUUGCAACUGCAGUGUACGCUUAUCAGGUAAUUGGAACUCCUCCUAUGUGAUAGAUUCUCGUUUGGUUUUGGUUCUUUUGUGUUCGUGUAUGCGUGUGUUUUAUAGGGUAAUUUUGCUCAGAAAAAAGAAUUAUCUAAAGUCGUUGAUGAAGCUAUCAAUUGGGCUCAUAAGACAUCACAAUCAAUAAUAGAAAAAUUUUCAUCUCCGCCAAUUCCUCCUUCAGUGAAUCAACCUUCAGCGAAAAAUUAACUAACUUUUUGUGCAUCCAUGGAUACUAAUUAGUCUUUUUUUUCCUUUUUUUUUUUUUUGCCUGUAU